rnacentral:rRNA from 1 species
UACGUAGGGUGCGAGCGUUGUCCGGAAUUAUUGGGCGUAAAGAGCUUGUAGGCGGUUUGUCGCGUCUGCUGUGAAAAUCCGGGGCUCAACCUCGGAUCGGCCGUGGCGACUCGUGGGCUGGAGCACUGUAGAGGCGGGUGGAAUUCCGGGUGUAGCGGUGGAAUGCGCAGAUAUCGGGAGGAACACCAGUAGCGAAGGCGGCACUCUGGGCCGUGACUGACGCUGAGGAGCGAAAGCGUGGGUAGCAAACAGG